GGCUCAGAAUGAACGCUGGCGGCGUGCUUAACACAUGCAAGUCGAACGAGAAAGGGAUUGCUUGCAAUCCUGAGUAGAGUGGCGCACGGGUGAGUAACACGUAGAUAAUCUGCCUUCAAGUCCGGGAUAACCAAUCGAAAGGUUGGCUAAUACCGGAUGAAGUGUUUUUGCGCAGGUAAAAACAUGAAAGAUAGCCUCUUCUUGAAAGCUAUUGCUUGGGGAUGAGUCUGCGGACCAUUAGCUUGUUGGUGGGGUAACGGCCUACCAAGGCUGCGAUGGUUAGCUGGUCUGAGAGGAUGAUCAGCCACACUGGAACUGGAACACGGUCCAGACUCCUACGGGAGGCAGCAGUGAGGAAUUUUGCGCAAUGGGGGCAACCCUGACGCAGCAACGCCGCGUGAGUGAAGAAGGCCUUUGGGUCGUAAAGCUCUGUCAACUGGGAAGAAAUUGUCUGAUAUUAAUAGUGUCAGUCAUUGACGGUACCAGUGGAGGAAGCGCCGGCUAACUCCGUGCCAGCAGCCGCGGUAACACGGGGGGCGCAAGCGUUAUUCGGAAUUAUUGGGCGUAAAGGGCGCGCAGGCGGUCUUGUCAGUCAGGUGUGAAAGCCCGGGGCUCAACCCUGGAAGUGCAUUUGAAACAGCAAGACUUGAAUACUGGAGAGGAAAGCGGAAUUCCUGGUGUAGAGGUGAAAUUCGUAGAUAUCAGGAGGAACACCUAUGGCGAAGGCAGCUUUCUGGACAGAUAUUGACGCUGAGGCGCGAAGGCGUGGGUAGCGAACAGGAUUAGAUACCCUGGUAGUCCACGCAGUAAACGUUGUACACUCGGUGUAUCGGAUAUUCACAUCUGAUGUGCCUAAGUUAACGCAGCAAGUGUACCGCCUGGGAAGUACGGUCGCAAGACUAAAACUCAAAGGAAUUGACGGGGGCCCGCACAAGCGGUGGAGCAUGUGGUUUAAUUCGACGCAACGCGAAGAACCUGACAUGGGUUUGACAUCCUGUGAAUAUUGGGUAAUUCCAAUAGUGCCUUCGGGAGCACAGACACAGGUGCUGCAUGGCGGUCGUCAGCUCGUGUCUUGAGAUGUUUGGUUAAGUCCAGCAACGAGCGCUACCCUUAUGGUUACUAGUCAGCACAGAAUGGAGGGAACUCUAGCGAGACUGCCCCGGUCAACGGGGAGGAAGGUGGGGAUGACGUCCAGUCAGCAUGCCCCUUAUGUCCAGGGCUACACAGACGCUACAAUGGCUACUACAAUGGGCUGCCAAGCCGCGAGGUGGAGCGAAUCCCAUCAAAAAUAGUCUCAGUUCGGAUUGCAGGCUGAAAUUCGCCUGCAUGAAGUCGGAAUUGCUAGUAAUCGCGUAUCAGCAUGGCGCGGUGAAUACGUUCUCGGGUCUUGUACACACCGCCCGUCAGGGCACGGGAGUUGCUCUUGCUCGAAGUUCCCG
rnacentral:rRNA from 1 species